UGGGGAAUUUUGGACAAUGGGCGAAAGCCUGAUCCAGCAAUGCCGCGUGUGUGAAGAAGGCCUUCGGGUUGUAAAGCACUUUUGUCCGGAAAGAAAUCCUUGGCUCUAAUACAGUCGGGGGAUGACGGUACCGGAAGAAUAAGCACCGGCUAACUACGUGCCAGCAGCCGCGGUAAUACGUAGGGUGCAAGCGUUAAUCGGAAUUACUGGGCGUAAAGCGUGCGCAGGCGGUUUGCUAAGACCGAUGUGAAAUCCCCGGGCUCAACCUGGGAACUGCAUUGGUGACUGGCAGGCUAGAGUAUGGCAGAGGGGGGUAGAAUUCCACGUGUAGCAGUGAAAUGCGUAGAGAUGUGGAGGAAUACCGAUGGCGAAGGCAGCCCCCUGGGCCAAUACUGACGCUCAUGCACGAAAGCGUGGGGAGCAAACAGGAUUAGAUACCCUGGUAGUCCACGCCCUAAAACGAUGUCAACUAGUUGUUGGGGAUUCAUUUCCUUAGUAACGUAGCUAACGCGUGAAGUUGACCGCCUGGGGAGUACGGUCGCAAGAUUAAAACUCAAAUGAAUUGACGGGGUCAU
rnacentral:rRNA from 1 species